rnacentral:rRNA from 1 species
UUACAACUUUCAACAACGGAUCUCUUGGUUCUGGCAUCGAUGAAGAACGCAGCGAAAUGCGAUAAGUAGUGUGAAUUGCAGAAUUCAGUGAAUCAUCGAAUCUUUGAACGCACAUUGCGCCCUUUGGUAUUCCAAAGGGCAUGCCUGUUCGAGCGUCAUU